UACGUAUGGAGCAAGCGUUAUCCGGAUUUACUGGGUGUAAAGGGAGCGUAGGCGGUGCUAUAAGUCUGAUGUGAAAGCCCGGGGCUCAACCGCGGGACUGCAUUGGAAACUGUAGGACUGGAGUGUCGGAGGGGUAAGUGGAAUUCCUAGUGUAGCGGUGAAAUGCGUAGAUAUUAGGAGGAACACCAGUGGCGAAGGCGACUUACUGGACUGUAACUGACGUUGAGGCACGAAAGUGUGGGGAGCAAACAGG
rnacentral:rRNA from 1 species